GGACACAUUGCCCCUCAAUGUCCUAAAAAGAAAGAUAGACAAAAUAUAAAAACUCUUAGAAUUUACGAAAAAUUCCAAGAAGAUAGUGAUAUAGAACCAAUUGAAUAUUUUGGAGAUUUAAGUAGUGAAUGUAGUAGUAUUUAUGAAUUAGAUACAUCCUCAUCAGAAGAAGAAGAUUAUGAGGAAAUUGUAUAUAUGAAUCAAGAGAUUACUUUUGACAUUAAAAAAUACGCAGGAAUUACUAAGAAGAUAUUAGAUUUACAAGAAAAAGAUGUAUUUCAUCAAGGAUUCUUAGGAAUUUUACCAAGGGUAAAUAAAACAAUUGUUAGUAUGAAUUAUAAAGAAAUGUCUAUUAAUAUAGAAGAUACCAUAGGAAAAGCAAGAAUACCUAUAAUUACAAAAGAAUGGGUAAAACAAAAAUUAUCCAAAAUCCCAGAAAAUGUAAGAAAUAAAUUAAAAUGUAUUGAGUUAGGAGGAGUCCAAAUAAUGGUAAAAGGAUUUUUUAGAGAAGGUAUGAAUAUACCAAUAGAAAUAUAUUGUAUGGAUAAUAGAAUCUUACAAGAUCCUAUAGAUGCUCUAUUAGGAACAGUUGUAGGAAAUCUAGUCUAUCAAAAGAUAAUAUUCACAGUAAAACCAAAUUAUGCAAUAUCAUUAAAUGAUGAAAAUAUUGACCAAAGUUUCAAUCUAUAUUAUAGAAUUGGUAACUUAAAAAUGUUACGAAGAAGUAAGGCUAUUAGUAUAAGCAUAAAAUCAAUUUUUGCUUUUAGUACUAGUCAUCAUAACAAUUUAAGAAAAAUAACUGAUAAUAUUAUCAUACACAAAGAUUUUGAAGAAUUAGCACAAUAUAUACCUCCUAGAAAAUACCAAGAACAUGAAGUCACUAUACCAGAACAAAUAAUGCUUGAUUUCCAUAAACAAGCCAGAGAAAUUAACUCUGAAGGAAAAUUAAUAAGAAGAAAUAGUGUGAGCUUAGAAGGAGAUAAUCUUAUAGCAAGAUUCCCCUCUAGACAAGACUCUAAAAUAAUCAGACUUAAGAAUCUAAGCAUUGCUGAACCAUCAAGUUCGCAAUACUAUAUCAAGACAAGAUAUGUAAACCAAGAAGGAUAUAAGAAGAAUCUUCUUGUCCUCAUAGAUACUGGAGCAGAUAAGAGUCAUGUAAAUGCUAAAUUUGUUAGUCAUCUAACAGAAUUUGAGAUAUCUGAACCAUACAUAUUUAAAGAUUAUUUAGGAAAUAAUCUUGAAAUCAAAAAAUAUGUUAAGUUCCCUCUUAUACUUAUAGGAGAGGACCAAAAAGAAUAUAAUAAAGAAAUAAUUCUAUAUAAAGAUGAACUAUAUGGAGUAGAACGUUCACCUAUUCUACUAGGAAUGAAUUUUCUAGAAAAAUAUAGUCCUUACAAAAUCUGUCAAGGAUACUUGAAAAUAACAGUUGAUGAUAAUCCAAUCAUCAUUCCAAGAAUAGAUGAAAAUAUGAAAUCAUUAUUAUCAUGGAAAGAGUAAUAAGUACUAAUCCCAUGAGCCCAU
rnacentral:lncRNA from 1 species